UAGGGAAUCUUCCACAAUGGACGAAAGUCUGAUGGAGCAACGCCGCGUGAACGAUGAAGGCCCUCGGGUCGUAAAGUUCUGUUGUAAGGGAAGAACAAGUGCCGCAGGCAAUGGCGGCACCUUGACGGUACCUUGCGAGAAAGCCACGGCUAACUACGUGCCAGCAGCCGCGGUAAUACGUAGGUGGCAAGCGUUGUCCGGUAUUAUUGGGCGUAAAGCGCGCGCAGGCGGCCUCUUAAGUCUGAUGUGAAAGCCCCCGGCUCAACCGGAGAGGGCCAUUGGAAACUGGGAGGCUUGAGUAUAGGAGAGAAGAGUGGAAUUCCACGUGUAGCGGUGAAAUGCGUAGAGAUGUGGAGGAACACCAGUGGCGAAGGCGACUCUUUGGCCUAUAACUGACGCUGAGGCGCGAAAGCGUGGGGAGCAAACAGG
rnacentral:rRNA from 1 species